AACUUGUAAGUCAUUGAGGAAAGAGAUGUAUUGUGCUAAGUUCAUUAGCGUGACUAAUUUCAAGUUUUACAUGAAUAUUAAAGACGAUUUGAAAACCGAGGGCAGUGCUCAAGUGAAAAUGUUUUCAGCUGUAUGACAAAAUGUUGAAGGAUUCUAGUCACAUCUAGUCUUGGAAAAAAGUCAUGGAUUCUGUUUUGAAUGUGCUUUUGCUGCUAUUAGUCCUAACAACAGCUUCCGUAAGACCUUGUAUCCUGAACCCAUCAUGCUGCAAGUGUGGAAGUAUGACACCCAGAGAUCCUUACAUACUGCUGAACGAAGAACUGGUUUUGAACUGUACUGUAAACGCAUCCUUUCAUCACGACUCUGCAAGCUUGUACUUCACACACAAGCCUAACAUGUCUGUUCCGGAGAGGGAGCUGUCCAAGGAAUACAUCACAACUGUAAACAACACAACAAUAUCCUUGAGAAAGAUGGUCAGGUCACUGGAGGAAGCAGGCACUUAUUCCUGCAAGAUUCGAGAUGUCAGACCCGGAGUGGUUGACCGACAGGUCGUGGAAGUGGAAUACCCUUUAAGGAAUGUGACUGAUUUUCACUGCAUGAUCUACGACUGGGACGUCAAUAAGACAUGUACCUGGAACUUGGGACCCUAUGUCAAUCUUGAGAAUAUUAACGUCACCCUGUACGGUAAAACCUGCUCCAGUUAAAUACAUCAAUGUGAAUGUCACCUCUGACAAAGGAUGUGCAAACCUUACAUGGGAAUACACACGUCCAAACAGAAUGCAGGCUGUGGAGAUCAAGUACUCAUUGUACGGAAGAGAGAACCCGGAUAUUCAGACAUUGGUGUUGAAGAACAGUGUUGUCAAUACCACCAUUUGUAACCUGGCUCCGUUUUCGGAAUACAUGUUUGAAAUACGAGUAAAGCCACAGAAAGAUUCAGGAAACAUCACUGGAUAUUGGAGUGCACCCACCAGAAAGCUGUUUAAAACUGUGGGAGGCUAUCCCAGUGCUGCUCCAGUUUUAAGCCUCGGGAGUUAUGUCAGUAAUCAUGAACAAUGCAUCAAUGAUAUGGACUACCGCAGAGUUUCAGUGUUAUGGAAGGGUAUACCUUACAUGGAGUCCAAUGGAAAUGAUGUGUAUUAUGAGAUCCACAUUCGUAAGAUAGGAGACACCCAGACAGAAACGAUACAGUGGUGAAUGUUUCCUGGGACUAUAACCCCCAGAAGAAUGUGAGCUUUACAGUGUAUUGGUGUAGUAAGAGGGGCCUGAGAAAAGAAGCCAGUUGGGUGAGGGCUGGGUUUGGGAAGCGUUUUUUGGUGUUUAAUGCCAGUGAAUUUGAGGAAAUAAGUGACCUGAAGUUUGGGGUGUCGGCCGACUCCUUUGCAGACAAUAUCAGCAGUGGAUUUGAGUGGAACACCUGUGUGUACAAAACCACUGAAGCACCUGCUGCACCAAGGAAAGUUUCUAUUUUGUCCAACAAAGACGGCUUGGUCAUUAACUGGAUUCCUCCAACGUGUGAUGAAAUGUCGUCCAAACCAGUCAAGUAUCAACUGUCCUGGUGCCGCACGGACGGCAAGUCCAACCAUUGUCAAGGCCCAGAGAAAACCUGUUAUAUCCAGGGCGAUGACUCGGUGGACUAUGAGUAUAGCUUGUCUGAAGGAGAUGUAGAAAUGUCCAAGUGGUACGGAAUUGUCAUCAAGUCCAUCUCCAGUCUGAACAAAACCUCGGCUCCUACAGAAAUGUUCCAUGGUCAGCCUGUUAGGAACUAUUUGCUUGCGGAGGAGAUUAUUGGUAUUUCCUUAGCCUCUCUGGUUGUUCUGUUCAUCAUCGUUGCUGGUGUCAUGUGGUUCAUUCAGUGCUGUUAUCGCUUCGUCAAAAGUUAUGUAAAACCAGAUCCGAUUCAUCUCCCAACAGUCCAAACUAAUCAUGUCGCAGAAAGUGGAGUGAUGUCAGCUUACAAAGAGAGUUCCUCUGGGACAAGGUCCCACAGUCCGAUACAAAUACCACCCCCCUCCACAUCACCCCUGAUCAGACAGAAUGGAAUCCCUUUCCAUUUUCAGUAUAGUAUGGACAGUGGCAGAGGCAGUCUGCCUGUGGAAGACGUUCUUGAUCACGAGACCCACCCUCCAAUACCCGAGUCUGUUGCCUUGGAUGGAAGUGAUCUUAGUAACCCAGUUCCUUUUGUGCAUCUUCCCUCCCCCAGGCCAGAAAGCAUCCUCUACAGUGAUGCUGACAACAGCUGUGUUGGAAUUAGCAGCUCCUCUCUGACCAACUACCGGGCAAUAUGUCAGGCCACAGAGUCCGACUCGUCCUCAGACGAGACUAGCAGUGUGAUCAGUGAGACACAAGAAGAAGAUUUAAGGCCCUAUAUCAAAGCUGGGUCCCAUAGUUCCUCAGACAAUAUGGGGUCACUUCCUGACUAUACCAAUGAUGUUAAGUCAGGACCAUCUUCACCUAAAGAAGAAAGGCAUGCUAAAUUGUGUUUGAAAAAUACUGUACUAACAGACUCCUGCCUAGAUAUAACAAAGUCUAACCUCUAUGAACAGCCAGGAAAUGGGACUGAAAACUCCCAGAGUAAGAAAGGCCCAAGACCUUCAACCUCUGUACCCAGGGUACAUGUGAUAUCAAGUAGCAAACAUACUAACCCUGUGUAUGAUGACAGCAUGGUGACUCUGUCUGCUCUAGAAAUGUGUAAAAUUCUGAUCUCUGUAGACAGCUCUCUAUCAAAAGAGAGACAGCUGACGAACGAGCUGGACACUGUGUCGGUGAACUCUGUGACCUCCAAUGAUGUGGGGAAGGUCCCCACCCCCGGGCAGGGGGAUUCGGAGGGGGAUUUGUCCUCCAGUGUAAACAUGAUGGCCAGCUCCGACUACCUUCCAAUUGAUUCAAUGCAGUUUACCUCAUCAUGCUUCUCAAUUUAUGAUAGUAGUAGUUUGGUGUCAUGAUUUUUAGCUUGUUAUUUUUUAGUUUGUUAUUGUUUAAAAUUUGUACAAUUUAAGAGUUAUCAUAGUUAAAAGUUUUUUCACGUAACAUUUAGGUGACUGUAUUUUUUUUUUUUAUAUAAAUCUUUUAUAUGGUCAUGCAACUAGUGCUCAGGCAUGGUUCAUAUUCAAAAUUUGCUAAGAGAGUUUAUCAUAGCAUAAACACUUGAUAUUAAUUAUAAAUGUAAAUUGUAAUUGUAUAAAAUGUAAAUAUUUCAUU
rnacentral:misc_RNA from 1 species